CUUUCACCCUUUAUUUGGAUCCUAUUGGCAGGAAAAUUAAAAAAGGGAAUUAAGAAAAAAAGUUUUAAUUUAUUCUAUAUUUUAUUUAAAUAAAUUAUUAAAAUAAAAAAGGAAAUAUUUUAGUUAAUAUUUCUCCGCCUUCUUCUUCCUUUCUCUUUAAUUCUAUACUCUAUUUUUCUCUUCUCUCCAUCUCCGUAAAUCCAAACAAAGGGUCAGAGAUUUGCAUGAAUUCGGUGAGAUUUGGGUGGAUGAGGAUUAUCAAUUGGGUGAGAAGCAACUUGCGCAGAAGGGUGGGUUGCAGUUUCCCGUCGAGAGGAUCCCCAGAUUUCUUAAGGCUGGAAAGUAUGCCGAGCAUUUUGGUGCUGGAGCUCCUAUAUAUCUCUCUGCUGUCCUCGAUACCUUGCUGCUGAGGUGUUGGAGCUUGGGCAUCUGGCUGAAAGCGGGUGCGGUGUCAAGCAUCAGCUUUAAAAGUGAGCUGCAGAUAUUGAAUAUCAAUUGGUUU
rnacentral:misc_RNA from 1 species